UCAAGCUACUAAGGGCUGGCGGUGGAUGCCUCGGGUGCGGGAGGCGAUGAAGGGCGUGGUAAGCUGCGAUAAGCCCCGGGGAGCCGCACACAGGCGUUGAUCCGGGGAUGCCCGAAUGGGGAAACCCGGCUGGGGUAAUACCCAGUCAUCCGCAAGGGUUACCUUGCGGAGGCGACACCGGGGGAAGUGAAACAUCUCAGUACCCCGAGGAAAAGAAAUCAACCGAGAUUCCCCUAGUAGCGGCGAGCGAACGGGGAGGAGCCUAAACCAGGCAGGUGUCAAAGCCCGUGGGCGUUGCCUGUCUGGGGUCGUGGGACUGUGCCGGAGAGGGCCACGGACCUCUCGGGGAGUUACAAAACCGUCUCUCUAGCCGAAGGCGCCUGGAAUGGCCCGCCAGAGAGGGUGAAAGCCCCGUAGGCGAAAGGGAGACGGUCUCCCUGGGCACAGAUCCCGAGUAGCACGGGACACGAGGAAUCCCGUGUGAAUCAGGGGGGACCACCCUCCAAGGCUAAAUACUACCCGCACACCGAUAGCGCACUAGUACCGUGAGGGAAAGGUGAAAAGAACCCCGGGAGGGGAGUGAAAUAGAACCUGAAACCGCCAGCCUACAAGCAGUCGGAGGGGAGGAGCAAUCCUCCCUGACGGCGUGCCUUUUGCAUAAUGAGCCCGGGAGUUGCCGUCGGUGGCGAGGUUAAGCCGUUGAGGCGUAGCCGUAGCGAAAGCGAGUCCGAAUAGGGCGUUUAGUCGCCGGCGGCAGACCCGAAGCGGGACGAUCUACCCAUGGCCAGGGUGAAGGUGGGUUAAUACCCACUGGAGGCCCGAACCGGUGGAGGGUUAAAACUCCUCGGAUGAGCUGUGGGUAGGAGUGAAAAGCUAAUCGAGUCCCGUGAUAGCUGGUUCUCCCCGAAAUGCAUUGAGGUGCAGCCUCGGGCGGUCGCUGCCGGGGGUAGAGCACUGUUUGGGCUAGGGGGCUUAACGGCUUACCGAACCCAGGCAAACUCCGAAUACCGGCAAGCGCAGCCCGGGAGUGAGUCUUAGGGCGAUAACGUCCUAGGACGAGAGGGCAAGAACCCAGACCGCCAGCUAAGGCCCCUAAGUCCUGGCUAAGUGGUAAAGGAGGUGCCCCUGCUAAGACACCCAGGAUGUUGGCUUAGAAGCAGCCAUCAUUUAAAGAGUGCGUAACAGCUCACUGGGCGAGCGGGGGUGCGCCGAAAAUUACUCGGGGCUUAAGCCAGGCGCCGAAGCUGCGGGUCUGCACGCAAUGAGCGUGCAGGCGGUAGGGGAGCACUCCAGUUGCCGAUGAAGGUAGACCGACAAGGUCUACUGGAGGUGCUGGAGGAGAGAAUCCGGGCACGAGUACGCGAUAAGGAGGGUGAGAAUCCCUCCCGCCGUAAGCCCAAGGUUUCCUGGGGAAGGGUCGUCCGCCCAGGGUUAGCCGGUCCCUAACCUGAGGCCGAAAGGCGUAGGGGAUGGGAAGUGGGGUUAAUAUUCCCCCGCCACCAGGAUGGAGGCCAAGGGGUGACGCAGGAGGGAAGGGCUCCGGGGCUGUAUGGUUGGCCCUCCAAACCUCUAGCCCGAUGAUGGACCGAGGCAAAUCCCGGUCCGGAGGGUGAGGGGGAGUAAGUAACCGAGAGCUACGGCUCUCGGGAAGGAGCUCGGACCACACUGCCAAGAAAUAACCUCGUGGCCGAUGAAGUCCUGGUGACCGUACCGCAAACCGACACAGGUGGGCGGGCAGAACUCUGCCAAGGCGCGUGGGGUAACCCUGGCUAAGGAACUCGGCAAAUUGACCCCGUAACUUCGGGAGAAGGGGGGCCCACUUUGGUGUAGGCCCUUGCGGCCGAGGCUGAGGUGGGUCGCAGGGAAUCGGCGGUGGCGACUGUUUACCAAAAACACAGGGCUCUGCUAACUCGUAAGAGGACGUAUAGGGCCUGAGGCCUGCCCGGUGCUGGAAGGUGAAGGGGUGGGGUUAGCGGGAUUUUUUCCCGCGAAGCUCCGCCCUCAAGCCCCAGUAAACGGCGGCCGUAACUAUAACGGUCCUAAGGUAGCGAAAUUCCUUGUCGGGUAAGUUCCGACCUGCAUGAACGGCUUAACGACUGCCGCGCUGUCUCAGCCAGGGGCCCAGCGAAACUGUAGUCUCGGC
rnacentral:rRNA from 1 species